rnacentral:lncRNA from 1 species
ACAAAAAGCGUGUGUUUCUCUGGUCCCGGGCCCUGCUGCAGGCGAGAGCCACAUGAUGCACAGUGGGGCUGGGAAUGAGGGAGGGGAAGCUGCGGAGUCUGCAAACCCCCUCUCGUUUACAGGGGAUCCCUCCCUCCAGGUCUCUGCUUCCAGUGCUGAGACACCAGAGAAACCAGUGCCAGGGGAGUUGAGGGAUGUGGAGAAGGUCUAACUGCCCAAACCAUCGAGCCCAGGUACCAAAUGGGUGGAUGGGGAAGUGAUGCCAGCCCUGGGGUCAGGCCACCAGCGCUCCUCAUGCCUUGCCCAUGGCCACCCUGGCAGUUCAUGGUGAAACUGGGAUGAUUCAAGGGGAAAAACCCAUCUCAGAGUGUUCCUGGUCCAGAGCAACGGCUGUGGAUGAACCUGUCUCCUUCCCUGUGAACCGAGCCCUCCAAGCCUGAGAACGGGAUGCUUGAUGCACAUCAAGGGACAGAGACAACAACUGUUGGCUGUGCUCAAUAGUGCUUUGUUCUUGGCCCAGGAAGCAAUGAAAAUCCGCCUUCUUUGAAGCCUGAGGAGGCCUUUUUAUUAUAUCCAGGGCUCCUGGAAAAGGAAACUCCAAGUGCUUUCCCAUAACGUGAUAAAAAGCUCUCCUGGCUGAGACCUUGGCAACUCCUUACACGUGAGAGCAGUGAGUCAGUGCAGCAUGAGGCUGAGCUCAGUGCUUGCCCAGCCACUGGAAAUUACUGAUUCUUGACUAUCGGCAGCAUCUGAAGUCAUUAGUUAAUUUAAACCUGGGAGUUCACACGUUGGCUUAUCAGAGCCAUCUCCUUUCCCCGCUAAGCGCUUGCUCGCUGCAUCCCCGGCUGCUGCUAGAUCCGAUCUGCGCCCGCUUUGAAGCCGUGAUGGGCUGCCAGCAGGCGAGGUGCUGCCUGUCUCCCUGCUGCUUCACUGCCUGCAUGCAGCAGUUUGACCGAAUGCUGGAAGGAGAAGGCGGCUCUGAUGCUGCUGCAGCUUCCCCGGCUGCCAGGGAAGUAAUAGAAUCUUAGAAUCAUCUGGGUUGGAAAAGAUCAUCUGUAAGAUCAUCGAGUCAGUACCUCCACAGGUCACAUCUUUCCUGCUGCCAGGUGACCUCCUGUGCCUGCUCCCUGUCCCUCGCAGCCCUGCUGCCCGGCGGUCACCUCGCUGAUCCAUGAGUGGAUACCCACGUCUGAUGAUUUUGCUCCAGGUGUACGAGCUGCACCCAUGAAAGGUGAGCCACGUCUUAUCUCCUGGCUGUUCCUGCCUGCUCCCAGCCUGAGAAUCCUGGCUGUGGGGUGUUUGCAGUGCUUCCCCAGCACUGUGUGUUGUGGUGGAUUUGGGGUGUCAGCUCCAAGGUGAGGGGCAGCCUGGGGCAGGUCUCUGGGGUGCAGGUUGGAAGGGCCAGCACAGACACGGCCCUAUCUGUUGGUCAUUGCUAAAAGGUCAACCUUAAAUAAUGGGAAGAAUAAAAACAAGGCUGCCUGGAGGAAAGGAGAGAGC